rnacentral:rRNA from 1 species
CCUACGGGAGGCUGCGGUGAGGAAUAUUGGUCAAUGGACGAAAGUCUGACCCAGCCAUGCCGCGUGCGGGAAGACGGCUCUCUGAGUUGUAAACUGCUUUUGUACAAGGGUACACCUGAAUACGUGUAUUCAGCUGAAAGUACGGUACGAGUAAGGAUCGGCUAACUCCGUGCCAGCAGCCGCGGUAAUACGGAGGAUCCAAGCGUUAUCCGGAUUUAUUGGGUUUAAAGGGUGCGUAGGCGGAUUGAUAAGUUAGAGGUGAAAUGUCCGAGCUUAACUCGGGAACUGCCUCUAAUACUGUUGAUCUAGAGAGUGGAUGCGGUAGGCGGAAUGUAUGGUGUAGCGGUGAAAUGCUUAGAUAUCACGAAGAACUCCGAUUGCGAAGGCAGCUUACUAAACCGCCACUGACAUUGAGGCGCGAAAGCGUGGGUAGCAAACAGGAUUAGAUACCCGAGUAGUC